UUCAUCCCCAACCGAUCGGAGCAGCAGGACUCCAAUUAGGAUUCCCUUUCCUAGCGAGUUGCGACUUUGCGAGCAGCAGACGAGGACGCCGACGACUACUCCUCUCCCCUGCGACUUUGGGAGUAACCGACGAUGACUCCUCUCCCCUAUGACAGCCAACGAGAGUUCACUUCCAGAAUUCUAGCAAAGGUAUGAAGUGCCACCCAAUUUUAGAAGGUUAUUGAGUUCAAAGAUGAGAAGACUGUGCAGAGUUCUAAAUGUUCGUCUGCAGGCUGAACCAGAGACAUAUGAGGUGUAUGCACAAAUAACUUUGCUUCCUGAAAUAGAUGUAAGU